rnacentral:tRNA from 2 species
AGGCACGUAGCUCAGGGGGAGAGCGCUACCUUGACACGGUAGAGGUCCGGGGUUCAAAUCCCCGCGUGCCUACCA